UACGUAGGGUGCGAGCGUUUGUCCGGAAUUAUUUGGGCGUAAAGAGCUCGUAGGCGGUCUGUCGCGUCGGAUGUGAAAGCCCGGGGCUUAACUCCGGGUCUGCAUUCGAUACGGGGCAGACUAGAGUGUGGUAGGGGGAGAUCGGAAUUCCUGGUGUAGCGGUGAAAUGCGCAGAUAUCAGGAGGAACACCGAUGGCGAAGGCAGGUCUCUGGGCAUUAACUGACGCUGAGGAGCGAAAGCAUGGGGGAGCGAACAGG
rnacentral:rRNA from 1 species